rnacentral:pre_miRNA from 1 species
ACCCAAACCCAGGUCUGCUGACUCCUAGUCCAGUGCUUGUGAUGGCUGGUGGGCCCUGAACUAGGGGUCUGGAGGCCUGGGUUUGACUAUC